GCGGUACCGGUUCACGUCUGCCCCGCCAGGCACGGAGCAAGGCGACCCGGCGACC
rnacentral:ncRNA from 1 species